UAGUAGAUGAGGUCGCCUUCAAAAUGCUACCCGACGCAAUCGUCCAGGAGCUGAUAUCAAAGCUAGGCAAACGACCAUAUUUAUGACGAAGUAUGCUCUUUAUCAAACGAAUCUACGUGCAUGUGAGCCUUUGAAAGUGGAGGAAUCCGUCAAGAAAGACGCGAGAGGCAUGGUCAAAAUGGAACCAAGUUGUGGUUCGAACUCCACAAACGGCAAUAACAAUGAGGAAGAGUUAGAAGAAUCAAAAGUUCCAGUUAAAAAGACUGAAUACGUUGAAAGUGAAGAGGAAACUUUGAAUCCCCUACCCAUUUCGUUGGACGAACGUGGCUUCUCUAUAGCACAACUUAGCUGCACAACUGAUCAUGAUCGCGAGGCGAAAGGCAACUUACUGGAAAUAUUAAAGCGAAAUUCCACCGGAGCACAGCUGGUAGGAAAGGAUUUCUUCACCAGAAAGGAUAGAGAACUGCUUUCACGCGUUAUUGUGGAGCAUCUUUUGAAAGAAAACGGUCAAACUGUGUCCCAACAUACCUUAUUGUUGUGGGCACGAGUCGUAGAGUAUCUCUUCCAAAAUGAAAUUGCUGCCAUUUACUGUCGAAAGGGUUCUGACAAUGUAUUAAAGGGUAAAUUUAUUGAUUGCCUUCAACACCUUCAACAUGAUGGAAUGAUAAUCUAGCACCUUACCAAUUAAAAAUGGCUGUAACUUCCUACGUGCAACAGGACUGAAAUAUGUAAAAGUUUAUAUGACCACCGUUGGCCAAGGAUGUAAAAGCGAAUAAUCCGAGCGAUAUACGUUGAGGUCGCAGUGAUGUGAAGCAAACGGAGAUUUCUACCGUUAAACGGCAUUCCGAAAUUAGUUACUCUUACUCACGAAACUCCGACCACCAUCGGCUAGGCAGCCUGCUGUUCCUGCGCAAAACAACAUCAGGCAAGGCACGUGCCUGCGUCCAGUACACCCGCUGCCAGCUUAAGCGAUCCGGCGUGCUCAACCGGAAGCUGGGCUUCCAGCGGAUCCGGAAGAACGGUUUGGCGAACAUGGUGCGGUCACCGUAGAAGGAAAUCACCUUGACCGUAUCAAGAAACAUUAUUACGUAAUGUUUCCAAGCAAGCUUCGCCGGACAGUCAGAUCUCUUUCUAAUCAGGGAAAAUUUGCCUACCUCUGUGGUACUAUAUGCAGCUCUAUUUCAAAUAUCGCCGGAAUCGGUCCUCUUUCGCCAGGUUUUUGACGCGAACGCACCUUGUCAACGGAGCUGCCGACCCGUGAAUGUCGGCAAAUAUCCGAAAAAUCGAUUACUUAAAUAAAAACACUUUGUUAGUUGAAAUAAAU